GACCCACGGGCGCGGCCGGAGAAGGUGGGGCCGGAGGGACGGAGGGCGGGCCUCCACCUUCCCCGGCCCUGCCCCAGCCUCUCGCUAGCUCCGCGGGUCCCGGCCCAGAUGUGGAAGACUGAGGACUGUUGAAAGUACAGAGUUCAGCCCCUGCACCCUCUGCCCCCAAGAGCUCCAUGCAGGUGCCACAGGAUGGAGAGGACUUUGCCAGCCAGCCGUGGUACCACGGCCCCCUAUCCCGUCAGAAGGCUGAGGCCCUCCUGCAGCAAGAUGGGGACUUCUUGGUUCGUGCCUCCAGAUCCCGUGGGGGCCACCCAGUGAUCUCCUGCCGCUGGCAGGGCUCAGCCUUACACUUCGAGGUGCUCCGUGUGGCCCUCCGUCCCCGUCCAGGCCGGCCCACGGCCCUCUUUCAGCUGGAAGAUGAACGUUUCCCAAGCCUGCCCUCCCUAGUUCUCAGCUAUGUGACUGGGCAGCGUCCACUGUCCCAAGCCACAGGGGCUGUGGCCUCCAGGCCCGUGAUACGACAAGGACCUAUUCGACGCAGCUUUAGUGAGGACACCCUCCUAGAGAGCCCAGCUCGGAUAGAGCUGCACAGGGCUAGGAAGCGGAGUGACAGUCAGCCCGCAGGUUUGGAGCACAUGGGGCUGUCAGGAGAAGACCACUCAGGACCAGGAGCCUCACCUGUGCCCACAUGUGCCCUCCCUCGGAUGGGUAGUGACCCGGUGUUGCUGAAGACGCCAGCUUCUCUGGGGUCUGUUGUUGAUGGCCUCAGGGCCUCCGAUGGGCAGCUUCAUGCCAAGGCACCAAACAAACCACCUCGAACACCCUCACUGGUGCUGCAUGAUGAAUCUGGACGCCCCCCAACAUACUGUGAGCUGGUACCCCGAGUGCCCAGUGCCCAAGAAACACCCACUGGCCACAGUGGCCCAGAGACAGAGGCCUCAUGGUGGGAAGCCAAUGAGGAAGAGGAGGAAGAGGACAGAAGCUUUGCAAGACCAAAGGCUGAGGUCUUUUUCUGCCCCCCUAACAACCUCUUCUGCCUGCUGGGCCCCCAGAAUCGGCCCCUGGAACCUAAAGUCCUGAGUACUCUCCGUGACCUCUUCCUGGAGCACCAUCCUGGGAGCACAGCCCUCCACCUAUUAUUGGUGGACUGCCAGGCUACAGGCCUCCUAGGAGUGACCAAGGUUCAGCGGGGCGCCAUGGGGGUCACCUCUGGCCUGGAGCUGCUCACACUUCCCCAUGGGCAUCGCUUGAGGUUGGAGCUUCUGGAGAGACACGAGGCGCUGGCGCUGGCCGGGGCGCUGGCCGUGCUGGGCUGCUCGGGGCCGCUGGAGGAGCGCGCGGCCACCCUGCGGGGCCUGGUGGAGCUGGCGCUGGCGCUGCGGCCCGGGGCGGCAGGGGACCUGCCUGGACUGGCUGCGGUCAUGGGCGCCCUGCUCAUGCCCCAGGUGUCCCGGCUGGAACGCACGUGGCGCCAGCUCAGGAGGAGCCACACACAGGCCGCGCUGGCCUUCGAGCAGGAGCUGAAGCCGCUGAUGCGGGCGCUGGACGAGGGCGCUGGACCCUGCGCCCCGGGCGAGGUGGCGCUGCCGCACGUAGUGCCCGCGGUGCGCCUGCUGGAAGGCCAGGAACUCCCGGGGCCGCUAGACGAGAGCUGCGAGCGGCUGCUGCGCACCCUGCACCGGGCGCGUCUGGUGGCCCGGGACGCGCCCCAGUUCCGUGAGGCAGCGGCCCGGCGCCUGCGAGUCCUAAUACCAGAUCCGUGCCACAGAUGAGGAAACAAACACAGUGAGGUGCAACAACUAGAAUUCAAGGCCAGUCUUGACUCCAAAGGAUCCCCCUUCGCCCCUACGUCAUAAAGACUCCGUAACUACAAAGUUCCAAGUGGAACUUUACACCAAUCAAAGUUUCGUACAAGAGGUUCAAUGCAAUGGCAAAAUAUAACUUGGCUGCCCGUCCACAAGUGGCCAGCGUCAUUCCCAUUAUGUAAGAGGACUGGGAAGACGAUCUCGUUGCUUGGAAGGACCAAUUACUGUAGUAAAAGAAUAAUAGAUGUCUUUACAUUGAACCAUCUUUGCAUUACUGGGAUAACACCCCAUUGAUCAUGACUUGUCUUCAAAAAAUACUAUGUUUUUCUUAUGGUAAAAUACACAUAACACAAGAAAGGCCCCACUCGAACCAUUUUUAAGUGUACGAUUCCACGGCCAUUAAGUAUAUCCACACUGUUGUGCGACCAUCUCCACCACGCGCAAUAUUAUUUUUAAAAUAUAUCAUUGGAUUUGUCUGGCUAGGAUUCUCCAUCUAAGAUCCUAAGUGAAAUAAAAUGAGUCCAGAAUUUGAAUUUCUUGAAUUCUUGCUAAAUGAUAGGGGAAUUGAUUCCACCAGCCUCCUAAAUGAGCUGACACCUUUUCACUCUUUUUUUUGUUUGCUGGAAUGAAUUGUUUCCUUUUAAGUGUGGUAGAAAUCACCUAUAAAACCACUGGGGCUUGGGCCUUGGGGCGUGUUAGAGAGAGUCUGGAGUACCAUUUCAGUACAGUUCAUUUAUUAUUUUAUUUUGUUCCUUGCCUACCUACCCCAAA